AUUGAACGCUUGCGGCAGGCCUAACACAUGCAAGUCGAACGAGUGGCGGACGGGUGAGUAAUGUCUGGGACACUGCCCGAUGGAGGGGGAUAACUACUGGAAACGGUAGCUACUACCGCAUACCAUCGGAUGUGCCCAGAUGGGAUUAGCUAGUAGGUGGGGUAAUGGCUCACCUAGGCGACGAUCCCUAGCUGGUCUGAGAGGAUGACCAGCCACACGGGAACUGAGACACGGUCCAGACUCCUACGGGAGGCAGGAGUGGGGAAUAUUGCACAAUGGGAGAAAGCCUGAUGCAGCCAUGCCGCGUGUAUGAAGAAGGCCUGCGGGUUGUAAAGUACGUUCAGCGGGGAGGCGUUACUCGCAGAAGAAGCACCGGCUAACUCCGUGUCAGCAGCCGCGGUAAUUC
rnacentral:rRNA from 1 species